AGCGCAGGCGGGAAACUAAGCGGAUCUUAAAAGUGCGGGGCUCAACCCCGUGAUGGGGUCCGAACUGGUUUUCUUGAGUGCAGGAGAGGAAAGCGGAAUUCCCAGUGUAGCGGUGAAAUGCGUAGAUAUUGGGAAGAACACCAGUGGCGAAGGCGGCUUUCUGGACUGUAACUGACGCUGAGGCUCGAAAGCUAGGGUAGCGAACGG
rnacentral:rRNA from 1 species